rnacentral:rRNA from 1 species
UACGUAGGUGGCAAGCGUUGUCCGGAUUUACUGGGCGUAAAGAGCGCGCAGGCGGUCGAAUAAGUCGAAUGUGAAAGCCCCCGGCUUAACUGGGGAGGGUCAUUCGAUACUGCUCGACUUGAAGGCAGGAGAGGGAAGUGGAAUUCCCGGUGUAGUGGUGAAAUGCGUAGAUAUCGGGAGGAACACCAGUGGCGAAGGCGAGUCCCUGGACAACUCCUGACACUGAUGCACGAAAGCUAGGGGAGCAAACAGG